AGUAAAAGGAUAUGGGACUGCUCCACCUUCUCUUACAGAAAAAACUCUGGAGCCGCAGUGGGAAGGACCAUUUCAAGUAUUACUUACCUCCUUCACCGCGAUUAGGAUCAAGGAACAGAGCGCCUGGAUCCAUCACACUAGGGUGAAGAAGGCACCCAAAGGACAAUGGACUUCACAAGAAAAGGGACCUUUGAAGCUCAAAUUUGUAAGACAUUGAUUGUCAUGCUCCUCAGUUGGACCUUGCCCAAGGGGCAGGCUUGGGAUCGAAAUACUUAUUUAAAUAUGACAGAGAGUAUCUCAAAAGUACUAAAUUUAUCAGAUUGUUGGGUAUGUAAUCCCCUUCCUCAGGGGAACAUGGAACUCCCCUUU